UACAGAGGGGGCAAGCGUUAUUCGGAAUUACUGGGCGUAAAGGGCGCGUAGGCGGCCUUCUAAGUCGAACGUGAAAUCCCUGGGCUCAACCCAGGAACUGCGUCCGAUACUGGAAGGCUUGAAUCCGGGAGAGGGAUGCGGAAUUCCAGGUGUAGCGGUGAAAUGCGUAGAUAUCUGGAGGAACACCGGUGGCGAAGGCGGUUCUCUGGGCAUUACCUGACGCUGAGGAGCGAAAGUGUGGGGAGCGAACAGG
rnacentral:rRNA from 1 species